rnacentral:rRNA from 1 species
UACGAAGGGGGCUAGCGUUGCUCGGAAUCACUGGGCGUAAAGCGCACGUAGGCUGAUUGUUAAGUCAGGGGUGAAAUCCUGGAGCUCAACUCCAGAACUGCCUUUGAUACUGGCGAUCUUGAGUCCGGGAGAGGUGAGUGGAACUGCGAGUGUAGAGGUGAAAUUCGUAGAUAUUCGCAAGAACACCAGUGGCGAAGGCGGCUCACUGGCCCGAUACUGACGCUGAGGCACGAAAGCGUGGGGAGCAAACAGG